AUUGAACGCUGGCGGCAGGCCUCACACAUGCAAGUCGAACGAGUGGCGGACGGGUGAGUAAUGUCUGGGAAACUGCCUGAUGGAGGGGGAUAACUACUGGAAACGGUAGCUAAUACCGCAUACCAUCGGAUGUGCCCAGAUGGGAUUAGCUAGUAGGUGGGGUAAAGGCUCACCUAGGCGGCGAUCCCUAGCUGGUCUGAGAGGAUGACCAGACACACUGGACCUGAGACACGGUCCAGCCUCCUACGGGAGGCAGCAGUGGGGAAUAUUGCACACUUGGCGCAAGCCUGAUGCAGCCAUGCCGCGUGUAUGAAGAAGGCCGUCGGGUUGUAAAGUACUUUCAGCGGGGAGGCGUUACCCGCAGAAGAAGCACCGGCUAACGCCGUGCUAGCAGCCGCGGUAAUUC
rnacentral:rRNA from 1 species